GCAUUUCUAUUUGAGUCAAAAUUGACCACCACUACUUAGGGGUUGAGCAUGUACCUAAGACUGAAAGUCUCAAAUGCAAAAGGAAAUGUAUGCAGCAAAUUUUCGUACUACUGCUAACGUGUAAUAUACAGAUGAGCUGUGUCUCUUCCAAUUUCUUACAAUCAACAAAAAAGUUACUAAAUUUAAACUAAAACACGUAGAAUUAAGAAAACUGGUAAAAGUUCAUCUACCAAGCUCGUUUCCCAUGUUUCAAACUUCGUACACUCGAGUCUAAGAAUACAGACAAAGUGAAUUACAACGAGACCGCGAAAAAAUUGGGAGAAAAGACUCGAACCAAUUAUCUGGAAUCACUUGGGGAGACAAGCGCAGCUCCGUUAUCCCAGUCCACGACUUUCUUCUCCCGGCGCAUUAAGUCGCCUGCGUUAUUGAUUACGCUGUGUUAUCGCGGCGGCGAAUCGGUCGGGAUAAAUAUAUAUCAUUUACGUGCGAACACCCACGGGCGAGCUUUUGACAGCGGAACGGUGAAAAUUAUUUAUCGCCGGAUCGGCCGUAUCCACAUGGUUCAGGAUUCUUGAGCGUGGUGGCGCUCGCGCCGCCAAUUCAACCUUCCCCCUGCUGUUCUGUCUGCCAAUGACAUUUUUCCCCGCGAAUGAUUUACGCCGCGUUGUGUAAAUGCUUGUCGCGGCGAUUUUCUGAUAUUCACGGUGAGCAACCCCUCGUGCAAAUUUCUGCCGGGAUAAUCGAUUAUGGUUAGACUGCGGAUUUCUAUGCAAACUCAUGUUUUGGGGGAUAUUAUUAAAAAAGUAGUCCCGGAAAAAAUUAUUUUACGGUGGCAGACGAAAGGAAGUUUCUAAAAUACGAAAUAUAAAGAGAUAUGAUAAUUUUAUAGGAUCCAUUUAAAUAUAAUAAGAGCAAUGAAUAGAUAUAUACCACAGAACAGAUGUGCCUGUUACAGAUACGAUGAAAUAUUUGUACUAUAGCAUAACUUAUAUACAAUAACAUAACCCCAACCUAACCCCAAUCGCAUUUAUUGAGAUUGCUACAGGUUAGAUUCUAGCGUAUUAAGAGAGGAAGAUGAUAAGUAGAAAGUAGGAUAAGUGAAGCGGUUUGAAAAAAAGAUAUGUUAAUGAUAAGCUGGUUGAGAGGUUUGAGGGAAAAAGUAUAAGAAUAUAGAUAUGGAACUAAUUGUAAGCCAAUGAUAUCAGAAAGGACGGACGUGUUUGGAUUAGAUGCAUAGAUAGGUUAGAAUCUUUGGAUAUGUUAGUGCUCUAAGAGCUGGAUAUGGGAAUGAAUGACAAUUAGAUACUAUAUGUAAGCCAAGACUUUUUACCAAGCUACGAAGCCAUAAAAUAAAUAAAUACAUAUACAUAAGUAUAUAUGUACAUAUGUACAUCAUAUGGGGCGUGGUCUGGAAUGCCAUUUUGGUUAACCAUUUUGAAACACGCAGUAUAAAAUACAUCUGAAGGGAUCAUUGUCCAAGCACAGAUAUCAGAAAAGUGAAGCACGAUAAUCGAGGAAAAGGAAACGAUGGACGAUAAAUCAUCGGCGCAAACAGUCGAUUGGAAUUCCUGAAGCGUACACGUUGUUCCUGUUGACGUGGUCACUUUGCGUCACGUCGUUUCUCGUUCCAAAUAUUUCAUUUCACGCGGGCCAUACAGGAUGUGUCCACUCCAUAGUAAUUACCGGAUUAUGCUAACCCACGAAAGGACAUCAUAUAUGCUUUUAACGUUAACGAACAACGUUUUGAUCGAGCUAAUAGUGUAUUACAAAUUGCAAAGUCGAUAAUAAUCGAUAUUGGAGUUAAUUGUUGUUAAUUGUGUUUAGAAUUGAAUGGAAUUUUUGGUUAAGAGAAUUUUAUUUGGAUGCGUAUGGCGACAGUGGUUUUAAUUUUUAAUAGCGUCGAUCGUGGCGUGGACGUUUCCUACUCUGCUUUUGCGACACACCAAUUGUCUACGACUCGGUAACUUUCUAGGCUGUAUGUUUUCUGCUUGGUAACAUUCGUUUCAAUCCGUCGUAUGUAAAACAAGAAAUCAAUUUCUCAGUGUUUGUUAAUUAAUUUUAAUUUAUUAAUUUAUUAAGUAUAUUACUGUACGUUCUUAAAUCACCAGUCACAUAAAAAUUAUACUAACAUGACAAAUACGCCCACUUGCUUCAACAAUUGAAAAACAGAAUAUGCAAGUUAAAUAAAAGCAUUCUAUAAAAUCUU